AAAUCAUCUUAAAGAUGCUCAUUGAGCUGUAAGAUAUUGAAAAACUAAGAAAAGUCAGAAAAAUAAUACAUGAUCAAAUUGAGACAUUUAUUAAAGAAAUAGAAAGCAUAAAAAAGAACCAAACAUGGUUCUGAGGUUGUAGCUCAGCGUUAGAGCACUUGCUUAGCAUGUGUGAAGCACUGGGUUCCAUCCUCAUCACCACAUAUAAAUAAAUAAAGGUCCAUCGACAGCUAGAAAAAAUGUCAAAAAGAAAAAGAAGAGAGAGAGAAAAAAAAAGAAGAACCAAACAGAAAUUCUGGAACUUAAGAAUACAGUGUCUGAACUGAAGGUUUUCAUAGAGAGCUUCAGUAGAAACUUGAUCAUGCAGAAGAAAGAAUCAGUGAGCUUGAGGACAAGUCAUUAGAAAGUCAGAGGAACAAAAAUUUUUAAAAAAUGAAAAGGAGUAACAAAGACCAUAAAAAUAAUGGAACCAUCAAGAUGCUAAUAUAUGUAUUGUGAAUUAGAGAAAGGGACUGUAAUCUUAUUUAAAGAAAUAAUAACAAAACUUCUCAAUCUGAGUAAAGAUGUAAAUAUCCAGGUGCAUGAAGCUCAAGAGUUAUUCAAUGAAGUUCAGUACAAGUAAGACUAAAACAAGACAUAACCAAGUUUCAAAAAUAAAACAAAUAAGCAAAUAAACAAAAAACUAGAUUACAAAAGCAGCAAGGGAAAAGAAGUAUAUCACAUGAUCAGGAGCCAUAAGAUGGUUAUCAGCACAUUUCUCAGCAGAAACCUUGUCCAGGCUGGAGUGCAAAGUGUUAAAAAAAAAAAAAAAAACAACUUGUGAUACAAGAAUACUGUAUAGUUAGGAAGACUGUAAACACUUUCCCAGAAAGAGAUAAUUUACCACCAGAUCUGCCUUAUAAGAAAUGUUAAAGGGAGUUUUUCAAGCUGAACAAAAAGAUUGCUAAUUGGUAACAGGAAAAUAUAUAAAAGUAUAAAAUGCAUAUGUAAUACAUAAAAGUAAGUGUGUAGUCAUUUAGAGUACUGUAAUACUAUAGUGGUGAUACACAUAAAUUAUAUGUUUAGUAUGGAAAUUAAAAUACAAAAGACAAAAUAUUUACAAAUAAUUAUGGUUAUAAUAAUUUCCUAAGCGAUAAACAGUGUAUCAGAGAUACAAACUGUGACAUCAGUAACAUGAGAGGAGAGUGAAAGCAUAUAGUUUUUGUAUGUGACUAAAGUUAUUAACUUUAAAUAGUCUAUUAUAAUCACAUAUAAAAG
rnacentral:lncRNA from 1 species